rnacentral:rRNA from 1 species
CAUCUCCGGGGGUAGAGCACUGUUUCGGCUAGGGGGCCAUCCCGGCUUACCAACCCGAUGCAAACUGCGAAUACCGGAGAAUGUUAUCACGGGAGACACACGGCGGGUGCUAACGUCCGUCGUGAAGAGGGAAACAACCCAGACCGCCAGCUAAGGUCCCAAAGUCAUGGUUAAGUGGGAAACGAUGUGGGAAGGCCCAGACAGCCAGGAUGUUGGCUUAGAAGCAGCCAUCAUUUAAAGAAAGCGUAAUAGCUCACUGGUCGAGUCGGCCUGCGCGGAAGAUGUAACGGGGCUAAACCAUGCACCGAAGCUGCGGCAGCGACACUGUGUGUUGUUGGGUAGGGGAGCGUUCUGUAAGCCUGUGAAGGUGGCCUGUGAGGGUUGCUGGAGGUAUCAGAAGUGCGAAUGCUGACAUAAGUAACGAUAAAGCGGGUGAAAAGCCCGCUCGCCGGAAGACCAAGGGUUCCUGUCCAACGUUAAUCGGGGCAGGGUGAGUCGACCCCUAAGGCGAGGCCGAAAGGCGUAGUCGAUGGGAAACGGGUUAAUAUUCCCGUACUUGGUGUUACUGCGAAGGGGGGACGGAGAAGGCUAUGUUGGCCGGGCGACGGUUGUCCCGGUUUAAGCGUGUAGGUGUGUGUUCCAGGUAAAUCCGGUUCACUUUAACACUGAGGCGUGACGACGAGGCACUACGGUGCUGAAGCAACAAAUGCCCUGCUUCCAGGAAAAGCCUCUAAGCAUCAGGUAACAUCAAAUCGUACCCCAAACCGACACAGGUGGUCAGGUAGAGAAUACCAAGGCGCUUGAGAGAACUCGGGUGAAGGAACUAGGCAAAAUGGUGCCGUAACUUCGGGAGAAGGCACGCUGACACGUAGGUGAAGUGAUUUACUCAUGGAGCUGAAGUCAGUCGAAGAUACCAGCUGGCUGCAACUGUUUAUUAAAAACACAGCACUGUGCAAACACGAAAGUGGACGUAUACGGUGUGACGCCUGCCCGGUGCCGGAAGGUUAAUUGAUGGGGUCAGCGCAAGCGAAGCUCCUGAUCGAAGCCCCGGUAAACGGCGGCCGUAACUAUAACGGUCCUAAGGUAGCGAAAUUCCUUGUCGGGUAAGUUCCGACCUGCACGAAUGGCGUAAUGAUGGCCAGGCUGUCUCCACCCGAGACUCAGUGAAAUUGAACUCGCUGUGAAGAUGCAGUGUACCCGCGGCAAGACGGAAAGACCCCGUGAACCUUUACUAUAGCUUGACACUGAACAUUGAGCCUUGAUGUGUAGGAUAGGUGGGAGGCUUUGAAGUGUGGACGCCAGUCUGCAUGGAGCCGACCUUGAAAUACCACCCUUUAAUGUUUGAUGUUCUAACGUGGACCCGUAAUCCGGGUUGCGGACAGUGUCUGGUGGGUAGUUUGACUGGGGCGGUCUCCUCCUAAAGAGUAACGGAGGAGCACGAAGGUUGGCUAAUCCUGGUCGGACAUCAGGAGGUUAGUGCAAUGGCAUAAGCCAGCUUGACUGCGAGCGUGACGGCGCGAGCAGGUGCGAAAGCAGGUCAUAGUGAUCCGGUGGUUCUGAAUGGAAGGGCCAUCGCUCAACGGAUAAAAGGUACUCCGGGGAUAACAGGCUGAUACCGCCCAAGAGUUCAUAUCGACGGCGGUGUUUGGCACCUCGAUGUCGGCUCAUCACAUCCUGGGGCUGAAGUAGGUCCCAAGGGUAUGGCUGUUCGCCAUUUAAAGUGGUACGCGAGCUGGGUUUAGAACGUCGUGAGACAGUUCGGUCCCUAUCUGCCGUGGGCGCUGGAGAACUGAGGGGGGCUGCUCCUAGUACGAGAGGACCGGAGUGGACGCAUCACUGGUGUUCGGGUUGUCAUGCCAAUGGCACUGCCCGGUAGCUAAAUGCGGAAGAGAUAAGUGCUGAAAGCAUCUAAGCACGAAACUUGCCCCGAGAUGAGUUCUCCCUGAGACUUAGAGUCUCCUGAAGGAACGUUGAAGACGACGACGUUGAUAGGCCGGGUGUGUAAGCGCAGCGAUGCGUUGAGCUAACCGGUACUAAUGAACCGUGAGGCUUAACCUUACAACGCCGAAG